AUGACAUGGCCCUUUGCUUUGUUGCCUUUCAGUUUAACAAGCCAAGAUUUGGUGGUGCGCAUGUCGCGGCAGCAAAGCCAAACCUCGGUGCUGCCAGAAAAGUAACAAAGACCCAAGUCACCGAUCCCACCGAGCCAACCACCAGUUCUCCAGCCAGCAUUGCUGUCCCAGCUCCAGUCCCUGAGACAGUUCAAGCUUCAGUCCCUGUCCAGAAUCCCAC